CCUUCUUUUUCCCUCUUUCCUCUUCCUUCCUGGGCGUAAAGCGUGCGCAGGCGGCUAUGCAAGACAGAUGUGAAAUCCCCGGGCUCAACCUGGGAACUGCAUUUGUGACUGCAAGGCUCGAGUCCGGAAGAGGGGGGCGGAAUUCCCAGUGUAGCGGUGAAAUGCGUAGAUAUUGGGAGGAACACCAGUGGCGAAGGCGGUCCCCUGGGCCGGAACUGACGCUGAGGCGCGAAAGCGUGGGUAGCAAACGGGA
rnacentral:rRNA from 1 species